rnacentral:antisense_RNA from 1 species
AUAACCGAAGAUCACACCAGGGCUGAGGGUGGGGUUGGUGAUGAUGCGCACAUCGCCGCCGCCGGGGGCCCAGGUGUCAUAGACACCGCCGAAGAACAUCGCCUUGAACACCAGCAGCAGACACCCCACACCCAACAGGAUGAGGUGGUAGCCAAUGAUGUUGGUCAUCUGGUUCUUAUCCCGCCA